CCGGAUUGUGUACGUUCAGCUCGCCUACUCACCUCGAACGAGGUACUAAGUCGCCGCCUGCCCACUCAUUACGGAUCCUUAGACGGACCAUCACCCCCUGUUGCAAAGCUUUCCUUGCGAUUAUGGCGUAUGCAGGAUGCCCUCUUUCACCCCCUAGAAGCCUGGAGUGCGAUAGUCUACUCGGAUCCAGCCUAAUCGAUCAACCGCUCCAUUUCCGAGUGGUUCCGCUGCUAGGCAUUGACCAGACUCUCCUACUAGUCAGUGUGACCAUUGACUCUGUGCCAGGUCUGAGGAUGCCCUCCGUCGUCACCCCUUAUAACCUGUUACCCGCUUUCGGACUAGGUCGGUACGGCGCACACACUUCUUCCAGAAGCCUAACAUUUCGUGAAAUUCAACCCUCCUUCCCGUCAUUCAAUUAUGGGAACCGACAGAACAUGCAAAUGGGCUGACUUAUUCGUGGCCGAUUGAAAGCACGGGUCGUCGGCGCCAUUAUGCUUCCCACGUUCGCAAUUAGCCUUAAUGACCCGCAUUUCGCGCGCAUCCACCAAGCAAUUCAACCUACACUUUCGGGGCCCGAGUUGGACCCUUGACGUAGGUUUUGACCGCUCGAUCUCAUACCGUCUCCCACCACCUUAAAGGACACAUCGCCACUUUACGCAUCUAUAUCCUUCCUUGUGGUCACCGCUUCCGCUGGUGGACCCGAUUAUGACUGUGACUCCACGCUUUCGCACCCCUCGUUUGUCCUAAUCUAUGGGACCAUCAGGUGCGGCAUUUGCUACAGCUGAUCGGCAACCCUAGGAACUCUAGAAUCACCGCGUCGAUUGCGUAAUUCAGCUGGCGGACCCCUCAUGCCGGCGUUCCAAUUUUGAGUUUACUUAACUGCCCCCGGGCGUGUUCGCCACCUCGUACACCAAAUUAAGCUUCGUUGCGCUUCUUGGAAUGGUCCGGAACUGUACGACUCUUGGACGGUCUCUACCGCCCCACGGAAGCCCUUGAGUCUGUGUCCACGACGUACCGACAGCAGUCGAGCACAGCACUCUACAACCCAAUUCAGGGCAUUGCUCGCGUUGGGAACAGGAAUCAAUGGUCGUGCAAUACCACCCGUGAGAUUCCUCUGACGGCCACUGUUUGGCCUCCUUCCACCCCUACUGCAGUUCAGUAGUACCGGGAAUGCCGGACCCGAUGUGUGCACGAUGUUACCAGCCAUGUUUCCCAACGGUUCGGCGCUCCACCUCGAUUAGGGUAUUUUGGCUAGCAUCAGGCCUAGCGUCAGACGUUGAGCUGACGCACUUCAGCCUUAGCGAUCAUUAGCACUUAGUCUUACAGUGCCACUUAUGCAAGGGCCCGGAACAUGUGUGGCGGGCAGUGUGGUACCCUCACCCAACGAGGUCUUCAUCGAUCAGAUUGGAAGCCCCCCUGCCAAUGGUGCCUCA
rnacentral:rRNA from 1 species